rnacentral:rRNA from 1 species
CGCGUAGGCGGACGAUCAAGUCAGGGGUGAAAGGCCUGGGCUCAACCUGGGAACUGCCUUUGAAACUGAUAGUCUAGAGUCCGGGAGAGGAUAGCGGAAUUCCCAGUGUAGAGGUGAAAUUCGUAGAUAUUGGGAAGAACACCAGUGGCGAAGGCGGCUAUCUGGUCCGGAACUGACGCUGAGGCGCGAAAGCGUGGGGAGCAAACA